rnacentral:rRNA from 1 species
UUAAGCGACUAAGCGUACACGGUGGAUGCCCUGGCAGUCAGAGGCGAUGAAGGACGUGCUAAUCUGCGAAAAGCGUCGGUAAGGUGAUAUGAACCGUUACAGCCGGCGAUGUCCGAAUGGGGAAACCCAGUGCAAUUCGUUGCACUAUCGUUAACUGAAUACAUAGGUUAACGAGGCGAACCGGGGGAACUGAAACAUCUAAGUACCCCGAGGAAAAGAAAUCAACCGAGAUUCCCCCAGUAGCGGCGAGCGAACGGGGAGCAGCCCAGAGUCUGAAUCAGCUUGUGUGUUAGUGGAACGGUCUGGAAAGUCCGACGGUACAGGGUGAUAGUCCCGUACACCAAAAUGCACAGGUUGUGAACUCGAAGAGUAGGGCGGGACACGUGGUAUCCCUGUCUGAAUAUGGGGGGACCAUCCUCCAAGGCUAAAUACUCCUGACUGACCGAUAGUGAACCAGUACCGUGAGGGAAAGGCGAAAAGAACCCCGGCGAGGGGAGUGAAAAAGAACCUGAAACCGUGUACGUACAAGCAGUGGGAGCACCUUCGGGUGUGACUGCGUACCUUUUGUAUAAUGGGUCAGCGACUUAUAUUCUGUAGCAAGGUUAACCGUAUAGGGGAGCCGCAGGGAAACCGAGUCUUAACUGGGCGUUAAGUUGCAGGGUAUAGACCCGAAACCCGGUGAUCUAGCCAUGGGCAGGUUGAAGGUUGGGUAACACUAACUGGAGGACCGAACCGACUAAUGUUGAAAAAUUAGCGGAUGACUUGUGGCUGGGGGUGAAAGGCCAAUCAAACCGGGAGAUAGCUGGUUCUCCCCGAAAGCUAUUUAGGUAGCGCCUCGUGAACUCAUCUUCGGGGGUAGAGCACUGUUUCGGCUAGGGGGUCAUCCCGACUUACCAACCCGAUGCAAACUACGAAUACCGAAGAAUGUUAUCACGGGAGACACACGGCGGGUGCUAACGUCCGUCGUGAAGAGGGAAACAACCCAGACCGCCAGCUAAGGUCCCAAAGUCAUGGUUAAGUGGGAAACGAUGUGGGAAGGCACAGACAGCCAGGAUGUUGGCUUAGAAGCAGCCAUCAUUUAAAGAAAGCGUAAUAGCUCACUGGUCGAGUCGGCCUGCGCGGAAGAUGUAACGGGGCUAAACCAUGCACCGAAGCUGCGGCAGCGACACUAUGUGUUGUUGGGUAGGGGAGCGUUCUGUAAGCCUGCGAAGGUGUGCUGUGAGGCAUGCUGGAGGUAUCAGAAGUGCGAAUGCUGACAUAAGUAACGAUAAAGCGGGUGAAAAGCCCGCUCGCCGGAAGACCAAGGGUUCCUGUCCAACGUUAAUCGGGCAGGGUGAGUCGACCCCUAAGGCGAGGCCGAAAGGCGUAGUCGAUGGGAAACAGGUUAAUAUUCCUGUACUUGGUGUUACUGCGAAGGGGGGACGGAGAAGGCUAUGUUAGCCGGGCGACGGUUGUCCCGGUUUAAGCAUGUAGGCUGGUUAUCCAGGCAAAUCCGGAUAAUCAAGGCUGAGGUGUGAUGACGAGGCACUACGGUGCUGAAGUAACAAAUGCCCUGCUUCCAGGAAAAGCCUCUAAGCAUCAGGUAACAUCAAAUCGUACCCCAAACCGACACAGGUGGUCAGGUAGAGAAUACCAAGGCGCUUGAGAGAACUCGGGUGAAGGAACUAGGCAAAAUGGUGCCGUAACUUCGGGAGAAGGCACGCUGGUGUGUAGGUGAAGUCCCUGCGGAUGGAGCUGAGACCAGUCGAAGAUACCAGCUGGCUGCAACUGUUUAUUAAAAACACAGCACUGUGCAAACACGAAAGUGGACGUAUACGGUGUGACGCCUGCCCGGUGCCGGAAGGUUAAUUGAUGGGGUUAUCCGUAAGGAGAAGCUCUUGAUCGAAGCCCCGGUAAACGGCGGCCGUAACUAUAACGGUCCUAAGGUAGCGAAAUUCCUUGUCGGGUAAGUUCCGACCUGCACGAAUGGCGUAAUGAUGGCCAGGCUGUCUCCACCCGAGACUCAGUGAAAUUGAACUCGCUGUGAAGAUGCAGUGUACCCGCGGCAAGACGGAAAGACCCCGUGAACCUUUACUAUAGCUUGACACUGAACAUUGAGCCUUGAUGUGUAGGAUAGGUGGGAGGCUUUGAAGCGUGGACGCCAGUCUGCGUGGAGCCAACCUUGAAAUACCACCCUUUAAUGUUUGAUGUUCUAACGUUGGCCCCUGACCGGGGUUGCGGACAGUGUCUGGUGGGUAGUUUGACUGGGGCGGUCUCCUCCCAAAGCGUAACGGAGGAGCACGAAGGUUAGCUAAUCCUGGUCGGACAUCAGGAGGUUAGUGCAAUGGCAUAAGCUAGCUUGACUGCGAGCGUGACGGCGCGAGCAGGUGCGAAAGCAGGUCAUAGUGAUCCGGUGGUUCUGAAUGGAAGGGCCAUCGCUCAACGGAUAAAAGGUACUCCGGGGAUAACAGGCUGAUACCGCCCAAGAGUUCAUAUCGACGGCGGUGUUUGGCACCUCGAUGUCGGCUCAUCACAUCCUGGGGCUGAAGUAGGUCCCAAGGGUAUGGCUGUUCGCCAUUUAAAGUGGUACGCGAGCUGGGUUUAGAACGUCGUGAGACAGUUCGGUCCCUAUGUUGUGGUCAAAUUUAAAUGGACACUUUGAUCGGGUGUUUUCCCCCCGACAAGGAACAUGAAGAGAUGACCGACAAGACAACCGACACAACCAAGAAUCGCCGAACCUUUGAUCCAGCGUUCAAGUUACAGGUGGCGCGCAUGGUGCGCGAGCAAGGCGUCAGCGUCAGCCAAGUCUGCCGCGAAAUGAAGCUGACCGAAAGUGUGGUCCGACGCUGGGUACACCAACUGGAUGACGAGUCAGCCGGCAGGCCGGGGAUUGGUAAACCGUUAACGGCUGAGCAG